GAUGAACGCUGGCGGCGUGCCUAAUACAUGCAAGUCGAACGCUGAAGGAGGAGCUUGCUCUUCUGGAUGAGUUGCGAACGGGUGAGUAACGCGUAGGUAACCUGCCUGGUAGCGGGGGAUAACUAUUGGAAACGAUAGCUAAUACCGCAUGACAACAGUUAUUGCAUGAUAACUGUUUAAAAGGGGCAACUGCUCCACUACCAGAUGGACCUGCGUUGUAUUAGCUAGUUGGUGAGGUAACGGCUCACCAAGGCGACGAUACAUAGCCGACCUGAGAGGGUGAUCGGCCACACUGGGACUGAGACACGGCCCAGACUCCUACGGGAGGCAGCAGUAGGGAAUCUUCGGCAAUGGACGGAAGUCUGACCGAGCAACGCCGCGUGAGUGAAGAAGGUUUUCGGAUCGUAAAGCUCUGUUGUAAGAGAAGAACGAGUGUGAGAGUGGAAAGUUCACACUGUGACGGUAUCGUACCAGAAAGGGACGGCUAACUACGU
rnacentral:rRNA from 1 species